UCAUUACACACCAAGAAAAUUUUCACGUCAUAAUACGCGUUUCGCUUAGCAAAAAUUUUUUUUUCUAAAAAUUUUUCUAAAAUACUCCUAUUAAAAUGGAAUAAAUCAAUAUGAAAGUGUUUUAAACACCCAAUUCAAGUGAUGCCCUACCAAAGUGCAAUAUUGGUGUGCUGAAAUAUAAAUUUCAUGAGGCAUAAAUUGGCCAAUGAAAAAUCUAAUAAUCAAAUCUAUCUAGUCAUUACAAAUUAUUUCCUUGUUUCUUAUUCAAAACGACCGACCUACCUACCAACAACAACGACCAGCAGCAAGCAGCCAGCCAGUAAAACGAGUGAAAAAAUCUAUCUUUUAGGCGACGACUACCUUGAAUUAAAAAAAAAAAAAAGAAAAACAACACACAAAAAAGCAAUAACAACAAACAAAUUUGUUAAAUAUUUCGUCAGCAAAACAAGAAGUACAUAAAAACAAAAAUGAUGUGUUUAUGAAAUUUCAAAAAUAUGACACAAAAAAAGAAAAAUCCUAAUUAAUUGAAGUGAGAUUAAAAUUGAAAAGAGAGAUAGAAAGAAAAGUGAAUAAUGUUGCUUAACAAAAGGAAAUUGAUUGUUUCAUUCUAGUGGAAAAUAUAUCCUCUUCAAUAAGAAAUUAAAUAUUGUAUAUAAGCAUAACCAACCAUAUGUAGUGAAGAAAAUCUAAGUGAAGUGCUACCAGUGAGAGAGAGAGAGAGGAAAAGAGCCAGAGAGAGGAGUAGCAUACAAAUUAUAAGGGGUUGUAAAACCCCCUCUCACUUGACACUUGCUCGUGCUCGUGCUUGUGUACGUUCGACGAGAGUGAGUGCGUGAUUGUGUUUCCCAACCAUUAUCCUUCGUUCUCGACAUCACUUCACCACUUCCAUGUCGUUAUCCCCAUACUCCGGCGACAAAAAUUUGACAUAUACCCCCCUCCGUACAUAACUGAGAGUGUCCUCGCAUGACAAAUUAAUUGUUGGUGAGAGAAGGAGAGUGUGUUAUUUUUAUUGACUCUUCGUCGUCGUCGGCCGUGGCAUCGCUGUUGAAACAAGUGAAGAAUUUAAGGAUUUGCAACAAAAAUAGAAGAAACAAGAAAACAUUACAACAUGGAUAACGACGACACAUUACUCAACAAUCGUGGUCCUCAGCCUGGUGCUGAGACCGUUUACGGCACCGAUGACAACAACAUGGUCAUGUCUGAAAAGAACGAACAGGUUGUGAGCAUCGUCCAACAAUUGGCCGGAAGUAUUUAUCAAGAGUUUGAACGCAUGAUAAAUUGCUAUGAUGAAGAUGUGGUUAAGAACCUAAUGCCCUUGUUGGUUAACGUGCUAGAAUGCCUGGAUGCAUCAUAUCGCAUAAAUCAAGAACAGGAUGUGGAAUUGGAGCUGUUGAGAGAAGAUAAUGAACAACUGGUGACACAAUAUGAACGGGAGAAAAGUGCAAGGAAGCAGGCUGAACAAAAGCUGCUGGAAUCGGAAGAUUUGGCGGAGCAGGAAAACAAAGAGCUAGCAAGUCGCCUCGAGUCCCUAGAGAGUAUAGUACGAAUGUUAGAAUUAAAACAUAAAAAUAGUUUAGAACAUGCCAGCCGUUUGGAGGAACGUGAAUCCGAUUUGAAAAAGGAAUACAAUAAACUCCACGAACGGUAUACAGAAUUAUUUAAAAAUCAUGUAGAUUAUAUGGAACGUACCAAAAUGCUAAUGGGUUCAACCCAUUCCCAAAUGAGCUCAACAUCCGAACGCAUGGAAUUGAGUCGAGCAAGAUUGAAUCCAGUGGCGAGAUCAUCUGGUCCCGUAUCAUUUGGUUUUGCUUCGCUGGAAAAUUCCGCCAUGUUAGAUACGGAAACAAUUUGCAGUGUUGGCAGCAAUUCGGAUGACUCAGGUCCACCUUCGUUACAAAAUGAAUUCGAUAAUCUACAGACGGUAGAGAGGGCGGCUGAAACUGACACAUUACAACAACAAAAUCAAGCCACCUCACCACAAAGUGAUAGUAGUCCCACUGUGCCAAAUAUACCAUCUAACGUUGGUCGUACGACUACGAAAAAGGAACAACGCUCUGCCAAUACUUUGUACCAAGAGCUGUCCUUUCAAGAUAAUGAAGAGAGCGAAGAUAACGAAAUUGUUACAGGGAGCUGGGUACAUCCUGGGGAAUAUGCUUCUUCAGCUAAUGACAACUACUUUGGGAUGGGCAAAGAGGUGGAGAAUCUCAUCAUGGAAAACAAUGAGCUGUUGGCUACUAAGAAUGCUCUUAAUAUUGUCAAAGAUGAUUUGAUAGCCAGAGUCGAUGAACUCACCGGUGAAAUUGAAAUAUUGCGCGAGGAGCUGAAUGCCAUGCAGCAAUCAAGGAAUAAAUUACGUACCAAAGUUCAAGAGCUGGAGGAAGAAUUGAAAAAGACCAAAGAACAGGUUAAGCAACAAACAGACAAUGAUCAGGAUGAAAAUGAUGUACCGCUGGCCCAACGCAAACGUUUUACACGCGUCGAAAUGGCCAUGGUGCUCAUGGAACGUAAUCAGUACAAGGAACGUUUAAUGGAGUUACAAGAGGCUGUGCGUCUAACGGAAAUUCUAAGGGCAUCACGUACCGUAGACAACCUUGAUAAAAAAUCUAAACAAAGCAUUUGGAAGUAUUUUAGUAAUCUUUUCACCCCCUCCAAUCGCCCACCGGAGCGUGUCAGCGAUGGCCAAGGGGGUGGACCUAUUUUUCGUUACUCAAGCCCAUCCCACUCCCACGGAUCCCCCAGUAGAAAUAGCGACAGUCGCCUUGCCAUAACCGGUGGUCGUGAUGGUGGUCCCAUGCCACAUCCGGCAAGUGCUGGCCUAGCCAAUGCCUUGCCCAACAAAGAUUACACCGAAGAAGGCACCUCGGAAAGAGCUCGGGCCAGGCGCCACGAACAGUACCGUCAACUACGGGCUCACGUCCAAAAGGAAGACGGUCGCCUGCAUGCCUAUGGCUGGAGUUUACCUGUAAACAAAACAGAAAAAGAACCCCAAACCAGACAUUCUGGUGGUGUACCAGUGCCAGUCUAUUGUAAUCCCUUGGCCGAGGCCUCGCCUCACAUGAAAGUCUUUUGUGCAGCUGGUGUUAAUCUUAAUGGUGGCUUCUUCAAAAAUGGCCAGUGCAUUAUACCAAGUAAUUCUCCGUUUGCUCCUCGCUCUACGGCAAAAAUUGCCGAAAUAACCAGUCCCUCAGCUGAACAUUCGGCCGAGGCAUUAGAUCGACAAAUUACUCGAGCUAGCCUUGAACAUCUGGAGCCCGAGACACAAUUGACUCCUUAUGUCUGGAUAUGCACGAGCACACAUGCAGCCAGUACUGUCACUGUGGUCGAUGCCAAUCAAUCGGCCACGGUGUUAGAUGUGUUCCCGGUCUGUGCCUCCCAUUUGUUGUGCAUUGCCUCUGUACCCGGUGCCAUGGAAAAGGAUUAUGCCUUAUUGGAAAAUUCAGAAGUCAUAAAGGCCGGCGAAAUGCUGGAAAGGCCGGGUGAAGGCUCUGAAGGCCUUGGAAAAGUUGAAUUUGUACGUGUUAAACCGAAGUCGGAUAAAAAUAGCAAUACCAAAGAUACGGCCGAACCUUCGCUGGAGGUGAAUGCCGAAACUCCAGUCGAAGAAAAGGCCAAGGAAGCUACAGAAAAAUCAAACGAACAGAAUGGCUCAGCAGUGCCCAUUGAACCCUUGGGCAAUGUUAAUGAAAUCAAAAUACGUCAACCCAUACCCGGUGCUCCACAACGUCUUCGAAAUGAUGCAAACAAUGCCAGCACGAAUGCUACAUCAAACAACGGCAGCAGCAGCAUGGUCACAACGUUGACCACCACCAGCAACAACAAUAAUUCACUGAGUCAACAACUACCCUUCUCAAAACCAAACAAUCCCAUAUUGGGAACAAAGGAUCGCCAAGAGGAUGCCAUGAGCUCGGUGGGUCCUACCAUGUGGAUGGGUGCUCAAGAUGGUUGGUUGUAUGUGCACAGUUCUGUUGGCCGUUGGCAUGAAUGCUUGCAUAAAGUUCACUUGCCGGAUGCCGUCCUAGCGAUAGUUCAUGUUGAGUCACGGGUCGUGGUGGCCCUUGCAAAUGCACAAUUAGCCGUGUUCCGUCGCCAAACAGACGGCCAAUGGGAUCUGAAUAGUUAUCACCUAGUUACGCUAGGUGACCGUAAUCAUUCGAUACGUUGCCUCUGUGUGGCCGGCGAACGCAUAUGGGCCGCUCAUCGCAAUAAGAUAUUUAUUGUCGAUCCGAUAUCAUUGAAUGUCAUCCAUUCGCUGGAUGCCCAUCCGCGCAAAGAGAGCCAAGUACGACAGAUGGCGGCAACAGGUGCUGGUGUGUGGGUUUCAAUAAGACUGGAUUCCACAUUACGUUUGUACAACACCUAUACAUUUGAACACAAACAAGAUGUCGAUAUUGAACCGUAUGUUUCUAAGAUGCUGGGUACUGGCAAAUUGGGCUUUUCGUUUGUACGAAUAACGGCAUUGAUGGUCUCAUGUAACCGCCUCUGGAUAGGCACAAGUAAUGGCGUUAUCAUUUCUGUACCACUAACGGAAGGUCAAGGUGAUCCCAGUACUCAAUUGCCAACAUGCUGUAUGGCAAAUGCUCAAUUGUCCUUCCACGGACAUAGGGAUGCAGUUAAGUUCUUUGUUUCGGUACCGUUGCGACAAAACAACAGCGCUCAAUUACAAUUUACUAACAAACGGCCCGAUAUGUUGGUAAUGUGUGGCGGUGAAGGUUACAUUGAUUUUCGCAUAAGACAAGAAAGAUCUGUAACUGAUGCUAGUGAUAAUGCUGCGCAUUUGAUAGUUUGGAAAGUUGAUUCAACGUUUAAUUUAUAGUUGGCUUACAACUUUGAAAAUUGUUGUUCUUAAACUAUAUUCGACUGAUGAUGAAAAUCUUGUGUUUCACGUAUGCGCCAUAUUAGCGUCUAUAUAAGUUGUUGUCGUCUUUAAAAAUUAUUUGUUGUAUCUACCAAAUGAUUGCAAAAAUGAAAUACAAAUCAAAAAGUGGAGUAUAAUGUGACCUGAUUUUUGAAAUUUGCUAAAUCCCGGCUAAGAAAGAUGACAAUGAUAUGGAGAAAAGCAUUAACUUGGAGCAGAAUCAGACAAUCGAAAAUCGCGGCGACAAAAGCUAUUUGAUUGUGUGGCAUGUUAGUCAACGUUAAGUUAAGUUCAUGCAAUUGUUGUUUUAAACACCAAUGUUUUAUUAACAAAGAUUGUUUAUAAAAAUUCAACACCUUAACCUAACCCCUAACCCCUUUUGUCCUCACUAAUAUAUGUUUUACCAAAAAAAAAAAAUCAAUUUAUCUUUUAGUUUUUAUAUAUUUUGUAUACAAAUGGAAAACAACAAAAAUUAAUUAUAUAGCAUAAUUAAAUUUGUAUUCAACAACUUAUUAAAAACAAAAGACAACAAAAAAAGAAGGAACUCAUAGAACCAUACCAUAACACCACCACCAAAAAACGCAAAAGUGAAAAUUUUAUGUAGCAAACGCAUGAUAAAGCAGAACUUUAGAUAAGAAAGAUAAAGCUUUUAAAGAUAUGAUUUUUCUAAGGAGAAAAACAAUGAAGUAUGUUACUCUUUUUUUUUUUCUUUUUUAAGUUAAUAUUAUGUUUUACGCUUUUAUAAUAUGAAAAUUGAAGCUUUAUACAUACAUCAUAUUAUACAAUGUACUUUGGAAUGUAUUAGGCAAAAAAACAAAAAACAAUGGAGACAAAAUUACAUUAAAUAUUUAUAUAUACAUUAUUAUAUAUAUAUUUAAUUACAUAUUAUGUAGACAAGUGAUAUUGUAACCCCCUAAAGAAGAAACCAUAGAAAAGAAACAACAAAUAUUAAAAUAAUUUAUUUAAUAAAAAAUAACAAUUUAAAUUAACAAAAAUAAAAACAAAUUAUUAAUUAAAACAUGCAGUUAGAAAAAAAAACUAAACGAAAUAUAUACACUAAUAUUUUCAAUCUCUCUAAACCAACACACUUAAAUCAAAUCCACAAUCUCCUUUUUUCUACUCUUCUCAUUUCUUGAUAAGACAUCACCACUAAAAUGUUUUGUUUUUCUUUUUUAUUUGUUUCCUCUAAAAUUGGUUAUAUUACUUUAUUAAAAUUAUAUUUUAGUUAUUAUAAUUUACAUGUAUAUAAUUUUAAAUCAACUGUAUAUUAUUUUCUCAUUUACUUUAGUUUUUCGAAAAUAAUUAUUUUAGAAAAAAAAAGAAACUACAUUUUAUUGUUUUAAAAUAAUUUGUUAAAUUCGUUUGUAAGUUUUUAUUUUUAAAUUAAAACACCAAGAAAAAACUAUAGAACAACCAAUUCUUUUAAUAAAUAGAUCGUUAAUACAGGGUGAGAUAAAAAACUGCAACAAAGUCAAACGCCAUAAUUUUAAUUUUUAUUGAAUCAAAGCAAAAAAAUGUCGGAAAUAGCAUCAAAUUUUAGAAUAAGUUUAAAUUUGUUCGAAUUGGUCACCAUUAGCACGAAUUAUGGCCUUUAAACGGCCAAUGAAACCGUCACACGCUGCCCGAAUGUUGCUCUGCUCUGCGGUAUUUUGGCCUAUUUCCGCCAAAACGCUUGCUUGAGGAGAUCGACGCUUUGGUAUUUUUUGGUGUCAACCUUGCUUUCGAAAAUACUCCAGACACAAUAGACCAACGGAUUGGUAUCCGGAGAUUUUGGUUGCUAUUGUCCGUCCGCUGGAAAUGAAGCGAGGAACAUCAUUUUGUAACCAUUCUUGGGUGGAUCGAGCUGAGUGCAAUGGUGCUGAGUCCUGUUGGAAUGUCCAAGAUCUGCGGCCAAAAUGUUUGCGUGCAGAAUAUUUUCGCUAUAAUAUUCGGCAUUUAUUCUGAUGACAUGGUCCAUUAAUACGAGCGGAAAGCGACCAUCGGCUGUUAUGGUACAUUUUCAGCUGGCCUCUUUGGCAAGUAAACACGAUCAUUUUGUUUGUUUACAAAAUGCUGGACAACGAAUGUUUUUUCAUCGGGGAAUACGAAAUUCGGCAGUUCACCACUUUCGGUCAAGCGAAGCAACUCUUUAGCUCUUUUGAGUCUAUUUUCUUUCUGUUGCGGUGUAAGUUUUUGCAAUUUUUGGAAUUUCAAUGGCUUUACCCCGAGCUCAUUUUUCAAUAUUUACCGAAUGGAAAUAUUGCGAUAUGUUCAGCCUACGAGCCAUUUUUCGUCCACUGCGACGCGGGUUUCGAUCAAGUCGCUUAUUUACUUUUCGAAUCAUAUCUGCUGAUGUUGCUGUUUUCUUCCGUCCACUUCCUUGAAGUCGGCCUACACUACCAGUAUCACGGUAACGAGUGAUGGUACGAGAAACGAUUUAUUCACAUUUUAAUGCUGGAGUGCUUUAACGAUAGCCACUUGCGGUUUUCCAGCCAAAUAUAAAGAAAUCACCCUAUUACGCUUCAAUUCCAUCGCGAACAACUCUUUUUCUAUAAAAUUCUCACCAAAAAGCUUUUGUACGCUUGUAAACAAUUUAAUGAGCUGUCACUGGAAUAAUUCUAACAACUAUCGGACUAGUGGCUUAGAAAUGACAGCAGUCCGAAGUUGGUUGCAGUUUUUUCAUCUCACCCUGUAUACGUUGAACAAACAUUUUUAUGGAAUGAAAGCAAGGAUAGUUUUUAUACUUCUUUGUGAUAGAAUAUUUUUCCAUUACUUCCCUUCUGAAGAAAAUUUCGAGUGCGUCCAAAGCCCGACCCUAAUUGGGCCCAAAGGCACUUCGAAACAAAUAAAUUUGGAUUAGUAGCAGAGUUAACGACGUGUUUGUUCUGCUAAUGUGGUUAUGGUUCAUAAUCCAAAUUUAAAUUGCAGAUACUUGUGUGAGAUUCUCACAUAAAUCUUCCGGACUAAGUCAGGUAGGUGUGGUAGGGGCGUUUCGUCAUUUCGCGCCCAUCGGUAACUCCAUAAUUAUGAAUACUACUAAGACCACCCUUACUUCGUCUUUAUAUAGAGAUGGUAUCUUUUAUGGAGAGUUCUAUUCACCAUAUGUAGGUUUGAAUGAUUAUCACUUUUUAGGAUAUGCAUUUUUACAAUUCAAAGUAACUAGAUGUGUUUUAGUAUAUCGGUAUAUUAGACGAUCGCGAAAAGAAAACGGAAAACAAAUUUUGGGAAACUUUUCUUUAAUUAACUUAAAGAAUUUCUUUGUAUACUUUUAUUCCAAUAUCUUUUUUAACUUACAUUUUCGUUAUUUUUUAAUCACCACUUUAUCAAACACACACUGUAAUGCCUUUCGGCCAAGUAUUGGAAAAUACAUGCAAUAUUUUUAUAGGAUUUUUUUCGUUUUGUAAAUAUUACUACACAAAAUUUUUAAAUAAAACCGUAAUAAGUAUUGAGAUAAAAAACGUAAACAACACAUAUAAAUAGUUACUUAUUGUCGUAAAACAAAAUGAAAAGAAAAACAAUAUAACAAAAAUAAUAUAUAAAUGAUCCUUUCGAAAAUAAAGAGAAACAUAAUUUGCCUCACUAUUGAGUAUUUCCAAAA